AUAUACAUAUAUACCAAAACUAGACGAUAUAGAGAAGAUCAGCAUGGGCCCUGUGCAGGAUAAAUCUGUGAAGCAUCCCAUAUUUUU
rnacentral:snRNA from 1 species